GAUAAUUAGGACAAACCCUAAUUAUUACAACCCUAAUCGGUUGAAGUUAGAGAUCGUAAUGACUGUGUUAGAACAUACACAGAUAAUUAGAGAACCCUAAUGGUCAAUUAGAAACCCUAAUUGAUGGCGUUAAGAAACCCUAAUUUUAGAACCCUAAUUUUUCAAUCAAAAACCCUAAUUUAAAAUUAUUGGGUUUAAUUACGAUGUUAAUGUAUAAAUGUUUUAAUUUACCAAAGGAUGAAAAGUAAUUGGUAAAUGAUAAGAAUUACCAUCUAGUGAUUAAAUAUUACAUUUAAUUGCUAUGUACAAGAAUGCCCAUGAAAUUAUAUGGGAAAUUACCAAAAUACCCUUUUUGUCCAUUUUAGUGUAUUAUUAGUAGCAUUGUUGCUAGAAUCUUUGCAAAAGCUAGCCAACCACCACCUUCUAGAAUUCCCUCAUGCUACUAUACCAUUACACCUCAAUUAUACAACCAAGUUGAGCAUCCAAAGCAUUAGAAUUGGCCUAUAAAUAGAGAUCAAAGAGAGUUAAUGCAAAAUGCACACUAAAAUUUUCCAAAGUCUCAUCCUAUACUCUCCCAACCUCUUACCAACGAAAUUAUCUUGCCCAUAAGCUUCUAAUCAAAGCCCAGCCAUCGCAAACAACAAAUCAGAAGCAUCAAAGCCAAAAAAAUCAAAAAUCGAAGCUAGAAAAGGUAUGAAAUUCCCUAAUUUUGAAAUCAUUCGAUUCGAUGUUAAUUGAUGCAAUUGAUUGUUUAAAGUAGUGUAAUAGGGAGUAUAUUAAUGUUCUGGGUUGUAAAAUCAUGAACCCAUAACAUCAAAGUGCACGAAUUUGAAGAUUUGAGCAAGUUGGAAAAACCGAAUUCUGUGAUUUUUGGGCAAAUGUCAAGACUUAUAUCUCUGUGAUUAUUUACUAUUUUUAUUGUUUAAAAGUUGUUAGGUGUAGCUUGUUAUGUGUUCUUUAAACUCCAAAAGGAAUCAGGUCUAUAUCUAUUGUAGAUCGGGAUUUAUAAGCGGUCAAAGUGGGUUGACCGGCAUUGACCGACUGUUUUUCAAACCCAGAAAAUAUUCUAAGUGUCCAAAAUUUUUUUUUUUUUGCAAAUGUCAGGCCUUAUAUCUCGGUCAUCUUUAAUGUGUUUUGUGUUAUAAAGGUUGAUAUGUGUAGCUUUUUAUGUGGUAUUUAACCUCCAAAAAGAAUCAGGUCCAUAUAUAUUACGGAUUAAGA
rnacentral:lncRNA from 1 species